AGAGUUUGAUCCUGGCUCAGAUUUAACGCUGGCGGCAUGCCUAACACAUGCAAGUCGAGCGCGAAAGGGAGGCAACUCCCGAGUAGAGCGGCGGACGGGUGCGUAAUACGUAGGAAUCUGCCCUAGAGUGGGGAAUAACUCCGCGAAAGCGGGGCUAAUACCGCAUAUUCUUAAUAUCUCAGAUAUUAAGUAAAGGAGGCUAGCAAUAGCUUUCGCUUUAGGAUGAGCCUACCCGGAUUAGCUAGUUGGUAGGGUAAAGGCCUACCAAGGCAACGAUCCGUAGCUGGUUUGAGAGAACGACCAGCCACACUGGGACUGAGAUACGGCCCAGACUCCUACGGGAGGCAGCAGUGGGGAAUAUUGGACAAUGGGCGAAAGCCUGAUCCAGCAAUGCCGCGUGUGCGAUGAAGGCCUGCGGGUUGUAAAGCACUUUCGGUGGGGAAGAAAUACUCAAAGCUAAUACCUUUGAGGGUUGACGUUACCCAAAGAAGAAGCACCGGCUAACUCUGUGCCAGCAGCCGCGGUAAUACAGAGGGUGCAAGCGUUAAUCGGAGUUACUGGGCGUAAAGGGCGCGUAGGUGGAUAUUUUAGUCGGGUGUGAAAUCCCUGGGCUUAACCUAGGAAUUGCAUUCGAUACUGGAUAUCUAGAGUAUGGUAGAGGAAAGUGGAAUUCCCGGUGUAGCAGUGAAAUGCGUAGAUAUCGGGAAGAACAUCAGUGGCGAAGGCGGCUUUCUGGACCAAUACUGACACUGAGGCGCGAAAGCGUGGGGAGCAAACAGGAUUAGAGACCCUGGUAGUCCACGCUGUAAACGAUGAGAACUAGGUGUUGGGGGGCGUGUCCCCUUAGUACCGUAGCUAACGCGAUAAGUUCUCCGCCUGGGGAGUACGACCGCAAGGUUAAAACUCAAAGGAAUUGACGGGGGCCCGCACAAGCGGUGGAGCAUGUGGUUUAAUUCGAUGCAACGCGAAGAACCUUACCUACUUUUGAAAUCCCUGGAAUCUUUUAGAGAUAGAAGAGUGCCUUCGGGAACCAGGAGAUAGGUGCUGCAUGGCUGUCGUCAGCUCGUGUCGUGAGAUGUUGGGUUAAGUCCCGUAACGAGCGCAACCCCUAUCUUUAGUUGCCAGCAAUUCGGUUGGGCACUCUAAAGAGACUGCCGGUGAUAAGCCGGAGGAAGGCGGGGAUGAUGUCAAGUCAUCAUGGCCCUUACGAGUAGGGCUACACACGUGCUACAAUGGGAAGUACAGAGGGUUGCCAAACCGCGAGGUGGAGCUAAUCUCAGAAAACUUCUCGUAGUCCAGAUUGGAGUCUGCAACUCGACUCCAUGAAGUUGGAAUCGCUAAUAAUCGCGAAUCAGAACGUCGCGGUGAAUACAUUCUCGGGCCUUGUACACACCGCCCGUCAAGUCAUGGGAGUGGAUUGUACCAGAAGCGGGUAGUCUAACCGAAAGGAGGACGCCCUCCACGGUAUGAUUCAUGACUGGGACUAAGUCGUAACAAGGUA
rnacentral:rRNA from 1 species